UACGUAGGGUGCAAGCGUUGUCCGGAAUUAUUGGGCGUAAAGAGCUCGUAGGCGGUUUGUCGCGUCUGGUGUGAAAAUCCAGGGCUUAACCCUGGACCUGCAUCGGGUACGGGCAGACUAGAGUGCGGUAGGGGAGACUGGAAUUCCUGGUGUAGCGGUGAAAUGCGCAGAUAUCAGGAGGAACACCGGUGGCGAAGGCGGGUCUCUGGGCCGAUACUGACGCUGAGGAGCGAAAGCGUGGGGAGCAAACAGG
rnacentral:rRNA from 1 species